rnacentral:rRNA from 1 species
GUGUCAGCCGCCGCGGUAAUACAGAGGUCCCGAGCGUUGUUCGGAUUUAUUGGGCGUAAAGGGUGCGUAGGCGGCGGAGUAAGUUGGGUGUGAAAUCCCGGGGCUCAACCUCGGAAUUGCAUUCAAUACUGCUUCGCUCGAGUACUGGAGAGGAGGCUGGAAUUUACGGUGUAGCAGUGAAAUGCGUAGAUAUCGUAAGGAAGGCCGGUGGCGAAAGCGAGCCUCUGGACAGUUACUGACGCUGAUGCACGAAGGCCAGGGGAGCAAACGGGAUUAGAUACCCCCGUAGUCC